rnacentral:rRNA from 1 species
UACGAAGGGUGCAAGCGUUAAUCGGAAUUACUGGGCGUAAAGGGUGCGUAGGCGGUUGUUUAAGUCUGUCGUGAAAUCCCCGGGCUCAACCUGGGAAUGGCGAUGGAUACUGUGCAGCUAGAGUGUGUCAGAGGAUGGUGGAAUUCCCGGUGUAGCGGUGAAAUGCGUAGAGAUCGGGAGGAACAUCAGUGGCGAAGGCGGCCAUCUGGGACAACACUGACGCUGAAGCACGAAAGCGUGGGGAGCAAACAGG